GACUCUGAGACAGGUGGAUCCGAGUUUGAAGCCAGCCGGAUCUACAGAGCGAGUUGUAGGACAGCCAGGGCUACACAGAGAAACCCUGUCU